AGAAGGGAAAAUAAUAGAGAGAGAGAGGAGGAGGAAAAAGAAUAAAAAAGAAAAGGGGAGAUAUUCAACAUAACUAUCAAUUCCUUGUUUCUCCCCUCUUUCUCUUUCUUCUCUCUUCUUCUUUUUCUUCCAUUUAC
rnacentral:miRNA from 1 species